rnacentral:lncRNA from 1 species
GAGUCCUCACUAACAGGUGGGCCGGCCCUUCCCAACCAUCUGGCAGGACGGCUCAGACCCGAGGAAACAGAAGCCCAGGGCUGCAAAGCCAGCGAGAGAGGAUGGGAAGGGCGCAGGUGCAUGCAGGUGCAUGAUCACGAGAAGCUCAAAGCUCUCCGCACGAGGCCCUCCUUGGGAUCUCGCUGCCUGUUCACACAGCUCCUCCCACGUCGCAAAGUCCAUCCACAUCCAGACCUCACAGCCACCUGCACACAAGGCAUAAUGCUGUUCCUUCCUUCAGGUGCGCUCUGGACUCUGGUAAGGGCAGCUGGUGCACUGCGGGGCUCACAGAGUCCUCUGGAGGCCAGGUCGAGGAGGAGGGCAUGGGCCACACCCCUGCUGCCCUGGGGGACUCCCCAAGGCCCCUCACUGCUGUUCAUCACGCCUGCAACCCACAGAUGCUCACAAAAGUCUCUGGAAGGAACUGCCUUUAUCAGAGCCGAUUCUUAACCACACCAGAGACUGACUCUCCUUAUUGGGAAGAACUCCUGACUCAUACUCGAACCAAUUCAAAUGCCAUAUUCCUGAUUUGAUUCGAUGGACUUUUGCCUUUCAACCAUUUCUCAAAGGUGACUUUUCCAUAAAGGAUGAAGAAUGGCUUUCCCUGGGGAAUCCUAGGAACAGACCACAGGCUCUGAAGGCAUUUCUGGGAGAUACUUUAAGGCAGUGGCUCUCAACCUUGGCUGCCUCUGAAGCCAAACAGGAAGAUUGAAAACAAAAUACAGACCCCAAACCUCACUCUCAGAAAUUCGGGUGUAGGAAGUCUAAGGCACAGGCUGGUGGAGAGAUUUUUGCUCCCCAGGUGAUUCUAAUGCAUAACCAGGGCAGGAACCGGGACCAGAAACAUACCUACUGCGCUCCCCGUCCCAGUGGGGUCAGACGCCUACCUGGACGUUAUAAAUUUUGGAAAUUUGCACAGCCUUCCUCAUCAUAGCUGACCACGAAUGGGUGGCUUGCCCAAGAUCUCAGAGCUGGAAGUACCAGCUCGGCCUCCUUCAAUACUUGUUGAUGGAGUUCCCGUCGUGGCGCGGUGGUUAACGAACCAGACUCGUAUCCAUGAGGAUGCAAGUUCAAUCCCUGCCCUUGCUCAGUGGGUUAAGGAUCAGGCAUUGCUGUGAGCUGUGGGCGGCAGCUACAGCUCCGGUCCGACCCCUAGCCUGGGGACCUCCAUAGGCUGGGGGUACGGCCCUAAAAAAGACCAAAACAAUGAAUUUUAAAAAUGAUACUUACUGAGCACCUGUGUCCUGGGCAAUCUCCUAACAAUCAGAAGAUUUUACAAAUCUCUGGAUUUGGGGCCACCGCCACGCAACACUUGCGCAAGGCAGGGCCUACUUGUCGCUGGGUCGGUGGUGCCCUUCCUUGGACCCGCAGGCCCUCUUGGGGCUACCCCUUCUCCAUCCCACGUGGCCUGUUGACUUGACCGAUCUGGCCAUGCCACAUCCACUUUUGUGAGGCCUGCAUUACCCCACGGAUGGAGGGGAAGAACACCCACUUAGAUGCCUAUCUCAUCCCUACUGGAAAAAUCAGUCUUUGCUUUUACCUAAAGAAACGGGAGCCAGACCCGAUACACAACUGUGGAAAUCCAGCCGAUAAUGACAGAAGGGAAGCACCACACGGACCGUGUCUCUUCAUCUCAAACCACCUUCAGACGCCCAACCCACUGGCGUCAGAAACCUCCAGGGCCCUUCCCCUUCUGUCUCCACCCAACCCGGCUGCUCAACCAGGUCCUGAAAAUAGUCUGGAUAUCAAACCCAGAUCGGUGGCCACCAGGCAGGCAACACAGAAACCCCUGAGCACAGGAAGCACUGUUCCUACUGCCUUUCAGAAUGAUCCGUGGAGAGGCCGCAUUAAAAGGGAAAAUGCCAUCCCACCGUAGAAUGAGACUAUCAAGGGGCAGAACGCAACCCAGCGCAUACACACACACGGGUGGAAACCGUGAAAUACGUUCACGUACAUCCACCGAGGGCCAGAAGGGAAUGCGAAGGAUCCACGUAAUUUUCGUUUUGUUAAUUAGCCUCUUUCAAAAAAAAAGGGCCUUCAUGUUACCAGUUCUCUAAAAAAUGAUGCAAAAAAAUUACUCGCAACUUCCUCAUCUGCAAGAUGGAAUAACAGUGGUACCUGGAGUGCAGGAAUCUGAGAGAACUGAAAGGGUUCGUUGAGAUGCAGCACUGGCACGGAGCCAAGGACGCAAUCUUUGCGAUUUUUGUUAGUAUUCAGGCUCCGAGGCAAUUUAUCGUUCCCUUCCCCUCUUCCUUUGCCCAAAAGAAGCGAAUGAAGUGGGUCUACGGACUGCCCGUGACCUCUGCCCAUGACCUCUGCCCAUGACCUUUGCCCAUGAAAUAAAGAUGACCACAUUCAGCUGUGACAUUCUUUCUAAGUAUCAACUCAUGGUUUUGAAUGCGUGACGGCAGCCUCUAUUACAGAGAAGGUAUUUUGGUCCAAUUCUCUGGCUGGAAGAGCUCUACGGAGGUGCGUGUUUAACCGUCUGUCUGCUUUUCUCUCUCCCUGCAAAGGCUUAUAAACUCCAGGAUGGGAAACGUGCCUAAUUCCUUCCUGCCCCUGCAGUGCCCAGCCCAGUAGCUGGAAGUCACUAAACAUUCACAGUAUUGUGAUAUGAAUAUAAAUCAAGAGAAA